rfam:Ictidomys tridecemlineatus contig081500, whole genome shotgun sequence.
GGGGAUGUAGCUCAGUGGUAGAGCAUUUGCUUAGUAUGUAAGAGGCCCUGGGUCCAAUCCUCAGCACCA